AUUGAACGCUGGCGGAAUGCUUUACACAUGCAAGUCGAACGGCAGCACGGGGGCAACCCUGGUGGCGAGUGGCGAACGGGUGAGUAAUACAUCGGAACGUGCCCAGUCGUGGGGGAUAACGUAGCGAAAGUUACGCUAAUACCGCAUACGAGCUACGGAUGAAAGCGGGGGACCGUAAGGCCUCGCGUGAUUGGAGCGGCCGAUGUCAGAUUAGGUAGUUGGUGAGGUAAAGGCUCACCGAGCCGACGAUCUGUAGCUGGUCUGAGAGGACGACCAGCCACACUGGGACUGAGACACGGCCCAGACUCCUACGGGAGGCAGCAGUGGGGAAUUUUGGACAAUGGGCGCAAGCCUGAUCCAGCCAUUCCGCGUGCAGGACGAAGGCCUUCGGGUUGUAAACUGCUUUUGUACGGAACGAAAAGGCUCUGGUUAAUACCUGGGGCUCAUGACGGUACCGUAAGAAUAAGCACCGGCUAACUACGUACCAGCCGCCGCGGUAA
rnacentral:rRNA from 1 species